CGCGCGAUCGGAGAGCCUAGCUUGCGGCCGCACGUGGAGCGCCUGCUGGCCCCGCCCCGGACCCAACCAAGCGUCCCGCGGAGGGGUGCCGCCGACUCGGGGGUGGGAGACAGCGGAGGGCACCACACCUCCCGGGUCCUGAGAAAGGAGGAGAAUGGCAGAAGGGCGCUCUGUGUGGACCACUGCGAUCUAGGCCUUUCCCCACGCGACGGAGGCGGGAGGGGACGCGGUCAGCUUCCCCCUUCUGGCCGAAUGGCCCUCUCCGACGCUCGGCCCCCGCUCCCCUUGAACGCUCCCUCCCGAGCCCAGUCGGGCUGGGCGGGGGUGGCUGUUUGGCCUGGGCUUCGUCUUACUAAUUCGGAACGACGGAGUGGAGGCCACUCAAAGAGGAGGCGAUCCCAGCGGAGGAGGCUUCGUGACUCCUAGCUUCUCCCCCUUACUCCUGUCCCGCACCCACCGGCCCACCCACCACUCGGGACGCGCCCUCGUGGGUUUUUAUACUGGAUGGAGGGGGCGCCGCCAGGAAGCCUCCCCCGCUAACUCUUGUUUCUGCAAUUGUAAAGGUAGACACAGCCUCUAUUUGCUGUGAUUGUAGCGAAUGUGACCCCUCAGAAAUUCUUUUUGUCCGCCCCCGAAGGUGGCUGGAGGGCUUGGCGGAAGGUGCCAAGGGCCGCUGGAAGUUGUUUUUAUGGCACUACGAAUCGAAUCAGAAGAUUGAGGAAGAAGAUAUUCAUUCCAUGAAUUUAUUGAGUACUUCCAAAUGCCAGGUACAGGAUUAGAUUCUGGGAUUCGAAGAAUUCUUACACUAUAGUUCCUUGAAGAAAAAACACUGGUAAUUUGGCAUGGAGCUUGAAUUAGAAGCGAAGCAUUGUGAACUUGUUCUCCAAUGGCCUCUAAUCCAGAUAGUUGGUUGUCAGGUCUGGAGAAGAAAAUGCGGGGGGAUAGCACUCGUAACUGGAUCUGGCUUUGUAGCUUUCCCUCUACCUGUACUGACCCUACAGACUUUUGAAAUAUUAAGAAGAAUGUUAAAGGGAUUUUACUAGAGCAGUUGAUCGAUCAUUGAAUUCCUUGCCAGCAAAACGUUUUGAUGAGAUACACUUGGGAACAGAGUGGUUUGAGUCGAGCAAGAGAAGAAUUGGUGACCUUGCUUCCAUUUGCUCAUGGCGCACGUCCAUGUCAAGCUUUCCUUGUGUCAUCUGGAGCUGCUCCUCCUCUGAACACCGGAAACCUCUCUGUCCACCAGAGCCUGCCCUUCGACCUCUCCCACCAGAGAUGUUGUUUGACUUUCAGUCACCAAAACCUACCCAGUUCUUCCAGUUUAUUAGCCAUUUUUGGCCUCACUUCUUUCCUUUUGAAUUAAAUGCCUAGACUCACCAUUCUGAAUUUAUUCUCCCCUGUAGUCUAUACUUCAUCUCUCCUUGACCUUCUAAUACAGCUUUGCUAACAACCCUAAUAGUCAGGAGAACUCAGUCACCCAUUCCUUGCAUUUUGUUUUAAAGUCACCAAGGAAGACCAAAGAAAAUCUAAUGACUGUGUUGAUUAGUGACAUCACUAAGACAACAUUUGAGCAGUGGAGCGCUUACAGAUGCUUGGUCAAUUUUUUAUUCAUUCCCAGUUGGCUCCCUUUCCCUUUCACCACAGUGUUCAGAUUUUUUUUUUUUUUUAAAGGAUUUGUUUAUUUAUUUGAGAAGAGGGAGAGGGAGAGAGAGUCUUAAGUAAACUCCAUGCUGAACGCAGAGCCGCAUGCAGGGCUCUAUCCCAUGACCCUGAGAUCACGACCUGAACCGAAACCAAGAGUCGGACACUUCACCAACUGCACCACAGUGAUCAGAUUUUAAUGGCUUUCUUCAAGUCUGUCAUCCCAGUCUAUAACCCUGCCACACUCAAGGCUCAACCUAGCCCAUCUCCUGGUGGGUCUGGCCACUGGUCUGAAAGGCUUAUAAGUAUUACCUCAUUGAAUCCUCACAACAGUCCUUUGAGGGAGGCACACUCAUUUUCCCUGGUUUAUGGAUGCCUAAGAUCUUAAGGAAAGUAACUGUUGGAUCUGAACUCAGGACAUCUGUCUCAAAGCUCAUACACACUCUUCCUAAACUGCUUCGCUUCUGCUGCAGAGCUGACUCUAGGCUUUUCUCCUUAGGGAUUUAGUUCCCUCCACCUCCAAAAUUCUGUGUGUCUUCCUCUGACUCCAUUCCCUCCUGACCCCUCUCAGUCAAUCCCCUACCAAAGCCCCAUAUCCCAAGCCCACUUAGCUGUUCAGGGUCUUCUCCAUCAUUUGUUUAUUCAUUUAGCAAAUGCAUAUUAAGUGCCUGUUGUAUACCAGGUCUUGGGGACAGAAGUAAACAAGGCCUAAUCUUCCAACCUGGGAGAUUAGCUAAUUAUGCAUUCUCCCUCUUAAGUAUUCAACAUCUGGCAAGCUCCUAGACCAUUCUUUGCAUUGAAAGAAAAUCACUGGACAUUUCACACUACAUCUAGCAUUGACCCUGACAGGUGCAUUGCUGACAGAGGGAUGAAUGAUUUCAGGUAAAGUAUAUUAGUUUGGAGGUUUGUCCUUAGUCCUCUUUCUGAAAAGUAGCCCACUUUAGGUGGGCCUCCAGCUCAUACCUUUUUGUCCACAGUUCUGAGAAGGUUUGGAAAACUAACCGUUUGCCAUUACUGACUGACUAGUUGCACUUUAGGUGAAAUAUAGUCCCAACAAAGGGACCUCAAACUGGUUCUUGUGGCUUAAGCCUUGUAAUCUAUGACUGAAAAGAAAGAUACAAUCUUAUUAAAAGAAUUUCAGCAUUUGCAAGGGGGGAGAUAGAUAUUUGUGAGACAAGACACUUUUUAAACUUGCAUUUUGCCACUUUUAACCUAGUGGUUCUCAACUGGAGGGUGAUUUUGUCCCCAAAGAACAUUUGGCAGUGUCUGGAGAUGUGCUUGGUUGUCGGAACUCGGGGUUGGGAGGAGUGUCUAGUGGACAGAGGUUACAGAUGCUACUAAGCAUCCAAUAAUGCAGGGCACCUCACAACAGAAUUAUUGCCCCUGGUUGAGAACCAUGGAUCUAACAGGUGAACUCAACUAGAGCAUUUAGCUACCCUGUAAGUUGGGUUUGAGGGACAGGUGCCUUUGGGGGUGCUGGCUGAGCCUGCUGAAGGUCUGUUGAAGAGUUACUAGAGGGGAAGAAUCAUUUGGGACCUACAGAGUAAGGUAUUUGGGCCGAGUUUCUCCAUCUCCUCUCCCUAACUCUACCUGGAUCUUGGUCUUAGCCCCAAGACACCUGAUACACAUUUUAUUUCUUCUUGUAUCACCUAUUUAGUGUGUGAUGACUUCGAAGGGGGAUAAUCCCUGUGUCUGACAAAGCAAUUUUUUUUUUUUAACGCAAGUAUAAUUUCUACCUCUGGCUAUAAAAUUUCUAAUGUGGCCAGAACACUAUUCUGUUUGCCAACAGAGGCAUAGUAAGAUUGAUAUCAAUCCAAAUUAAAUGAUAGGUCAAAGAAGAAAAAAGCUGGAAACAUUCUUUUCACUUCUAUCAGUGAAGAAUCAACUUUUGAACUAAAUUAGUGUUAAAGGCCUUUUAAUAAAAUUUAUAAUUUAACAGACCUGACCAGUUAUUCACACUUAGAGUGAAUAAU